GACGAACGCUGGCGGCGUGCUUAACACAUGCAAGUCGAACGGAAAGGCCCUGCUUUUGUGGGGUGCUCGAGUGGCGAACGGGGGAGGAACACGUGAGUAACCUGCUCUAGACUUUGGGAUAACUUCAGGAAACUGGGGCUAAGACCGUAUAGGAGCUCAUGCUGCAUGGUGGGGGUUGGAUAGUCUCGGCGGUUGGGGAUGGACUCGCGGCUGAUCAGCUUGUUGGUUGGGUAGUGGCUUACCAAGGAUUUGACGGGUAGCCGGCAGGUGAGGGUGACCGGGGACAAUGGUACUGAGAUAGGGAGCAGACGCGUACGUGAGGCAGCAGUGGCGAAUAUUGCACAGUGGGAGGAAGCGUGAUGCAGCAACGCCGCGUGCGGGAUGACGGCCUUCGGGUUGUAAACCGCUUUAGCCUGUGACGAAGCGUGAGUGACGGUAAUGGGUAAAGAAGCACCGGCUAACUACGUG
rnacentral:rRNA from 1 species